GUGAUAGCUACACCGAGAUCAAUGCCCAGCACGGCUGCCCCCGUUCAGGGCCGAGCCCGCUCUGGGCAGGAGGACGACUCCGGCGGGCUGAGGGGGCGGCCGGGGCGGCGCGGCGCUCUCCCCGCUCUCCCCCCCUCCCCCCCUCAGGGACGCGCUGAGGUGAGGGCUGCGGGGCGCCUGGCGCAGCGGCGGCCCUAAGGGUUCUGGUUUCUGCCUUCCAACUACACAGAACAGCCAGCACUACCUGGCUGUCCGCAGUGCCGAAGUGAAAGAUUUUCUUCAGCAAAUGGCCAGGGGCUUCACUGUAACUGGGUGUCCUGUGGAAGGCUGUACCUGCUUGUGGUGCGGGCAGAAGUGGCCUGUUCCUCACCGCUGGCCGCGAGGGGGAGGGAGUUGGGAGCUGUGUGGGGGUACGCGAAGGACGGUGUUGGAGGCAACAAGCAACAAUAUAUAGAAGAUAUAUAGAAGUGCUGUAAGUAGGGGUUGAAGAAAACGAGGAAUUUCCUUGAGAAAAUUAGGGCAUUUUGUGAGUAGCACUGAGGAGAGAAAAUUAGAAGUUGGGAGCAUGAGGCUACCUGAAGAAACUGGAGACACAUGGGAGAAGUCUGGCUCAGCAGGCGGAUGAGAGAUACAGACAAACUGGAGGGAGACCAGCAGAGGACUACCUCGGAGACCUGGGGACUGGAACAAGGCAUGCAAGGAGACACUGAGGGUGCUUUUCUCCCCAGAAGAGGCUGGGGUGGGUGGAAUCCAGACUUAACUAGACAUGUUCCAGAGAAACCUGCUCUAACUUCAACGUUAGUCCUGCUUUGAGCAGGAGAUUGGAGUAGAGAUUUCCAGCAGUCACUUUCAAACUUAUUUUCUAUAAUUCUAAAGCAUUAUUUUGUAGUUUGUUUUGUUGGGUUUUUUUUGGGGGGUGGGGAGGUUGUUUGUUUGUUUAAAAAAUCACAUUGAGCACAUAAUAAAGGUCUUGAGCAGCAUCAAGCCUUGUAUAUCACAGCUUAUUUCUUGAUGCAUUAAGAAUAAUCCAUUUCUACAUGCUUUAUUUACCAAUUUUCAUCACUCAAAAUAACAACCAAGUCUUAUUUGAUAAUUCUUCAUAGAUAAAAAGAUGGUGUCUUCUAAUGACACAGAAGGCUAGAGGCUUGGAAGCAUAAGUUUGGCUUUUGUCACCCCUGAAGACAGAACCUUUUUUUUUUCCUGCUAUAGUUUCAAAGAAAAUAACAGCAUCAUAAGUUAUUUUUGACUUUCACACAGUAAACUUUCUGCAAAGGCAUUGGAGCAACAUCACUUCUGCUCUCUUUUGUGCUACCCUUAGUGUGCAGUUUGCAUAUCUGGCUGAGUCAGUCUAAGAGCUACUCCUGAUGGGAACAGUCAUCUUGAUCCUGGCUUCAGAUUCCUGCCUCUCUGUUAUCCCAGUUCAGGGAAUUAAUGUGGCAGAAGGUGAUUUCCUUUUCUGUAAGGAUAAUAUUUUCCUUGUUUCACUCCCAGAACUUAACUGAAAAAGAUCAGAAGGGUGCUUCAGACAAGGAUCUUGUCAGAAGAUGCUGGUUCAAGGGGAGGUAAAGAAUGCUAAUUGAUGUACAAUAGAACAUUUAGAAGAAAAAAAUACUAAAAGACAAUUUUAAUUGUUCUAAUUUUACACCAGUGUACAUUUUAUUGUAUCUGCUUGUAAUCUCAUCACAUUAAAUAUUUCUUGCAUAUGAAAAAAAUAAUUGAGAAUGAAAGAAAUUUUAAGCUUCAAAUUGUGCACAGGAUUAAUGUUUUGGCACUUAAUCCAAGCAUCUAAAUAGUCUAAAUAAGUAUUCCUAGACGUUAUGUUGCUGUAUCCAAUAUCCAGAUAUGAUAGCCUGGGUCUUAGUUUGGCUAAUUCUGUGUACCAUAGCAAUUCUUAAAAAAAAAAAAGCCAAACUCAAAACAACUUAGAAAAUAAACUUUGACCCAUUCUUCGUCUGUAGAAUGAUUUACAUUAACAAUACAUUAACUAUUAAAAAGAAGAGAGCAUAGAACAGAAAUCUUUUGUAUCUCCAGUGUAAACAUGGUAAACUUUUUUUUAAAUUAAGCUGCGGCCCAGUGUUCUGUAUUGUCCUUAUUAAAAAACAAAGGUCUGGCAACUUUUUUCUUUGAAAUACUGGAAUGACCUAAAGGCUUGGAAUUGAGAUUUGAUGUUGGCAGGAAAGCAGCCUGCCUGUUGAGCAUGUGCUUUUUGUUAUUUCUGUGACAAAUCUACAUAUUUAACCAAGUUUUAACCCUUUUGGGCAUAACUCCCAGUAUGAUCUCUGCCUGCUGUUAGCAAAAUUUUUGAUAAUUCUACUCCCUGAUUAUUCCCAUAACCUCUUUCUGCACGGAGUAUAUGCAUACCCGCUCCACAGAGCUGUCGGGUACGCUCUGUGGCCUUAGGUGUCUUAAUGUGACUAGACUGCAGGUACCUUUCAACGUAAACAUAGUGGCAUAAUGAAUUCAGUCAUCUUUAACUGUUGUUGAAGGUGAUUCAACUGAAGCUAACUGGCUCAGGAAGUCCAUUUCACUUACUGGGACUUGAGGAUGGUAAAUAAUUAGUAAAAGUAGUAACAUCUUAAAAUUAUCACAGCUGUUUCUGAAGUGUUUGACCACAGCUGGAGAGGCCCAGUAGAUGAAUUUCUUGGCAAGCUGGUUAAAGAGUUUACUGCAUCUGUCUCUCUGCUCUACAACUCAGCUGGCAGUGCCCGUCCCAUAACGGGGCUGCAGAACCAAAGGAAUGUUGGCUUUGCAGUCAUUGCAGUUGACAGCUCUGUAUAUUAAACUUUAACAAACCGCAGCUUAAUUUCACAUGCUCAGCAGUGAACUCUAGUAGUUUUCCCCCAGGUUUUGUUCUGAGGAAUUAGCAUAAGAAAUUACGACCUAAGCUGUAGAUGUGGCUAGCAUGAAAAAAAGUACAGUGUGUAAAAGGUUGGCCUUAUUUGAUGUUACCAAUAGUUAAUGGUUAUAAAGCAUUUGCAGUUAGUCAGCCUUUUCACCUGCUACUGAGAGAGUUAUGAGACAUGACAGUUAUAUCUGAUUAUGAUAGUUUAAGGAACAUAAUCUGCCUGAGGGAUUCUGCAAAACCACUGAAUUGCAAAAGUUCUGAACUUUCCUUGUAAAACAGAGAUUUCUCUUCACAUUAUCAGGUUUACAUGUGAACCACCUUAUGAGUUACAAUAAGAUAGCUGUAUAAAUUAAUUAUUUUCAAGGCUUUAACAUCAAUUCUGCUCUCUGUAAUUCCUAUCGCUCCUUGUAGUAGUAUGUUGUUAAGUAAGUAUUAAGUGUAAUGAUUUUGUAAUCUAGGAUUUUUGUAAGAAUCCAGAUGUUUUGAAAAAAGAAAAUAAGUCAUUCACUGCGAACAUCAGUUGAAUGUUGACCUUCCUCAGGCCUUAAUAAACUUUAAUAAUUAUA